GCCUUACAGCCUGUGGUGGUUGCCGAAGAACUUUAAUUACAGUGUCAGAGUGUUCAGGGACAGUCCCAACUCCCUUCAUGUGAGGAUUGCAGAAAUGGGCUUGGAUCGUAUACAGACAGCGUUAUGAGGCAUUGCUGAAGAACAGUAAGUUCUUACACAGAAGUUGUCAACUAAUAUAUGCAUUUUCUUUGCCAUACCCCAAGAGGCAGGAGCUGAUUCCUAUAUAGUUAGGAUAUAGCUGACCAAUGUUCUCUUUAAAUGUAAUUUCCAUCUGCCACAUUUUAAAUUACAGGUUUUUGCAUCAGGAAACUGUUGGGUCCAAUUAUUUGGUGCCUUGGAAAGGGCAUUAAAUGCAUAGUGAGAAGAUCCUGGUUUAAUCUGACAUUCCACUUACUAGGUGUAGAAGCUUGAGCAAGUUAAUUAAUCUUUGAGUCUGUAUACCCAGCUGCAAAAUGAGGAUAAUGCUUAUCUUACAGAGUGUUGUGAAAGCAAUGAAGAUUGUGUGAAAGGGUUUCAUAAACUGACAAGCACUGCACAAAUGUAAGGUCCCCUAAGGAAAACCUUUUCAAAACUCAAAAUCUAUAUGAACAGAGAUACUUAUUCAUGUUGGGUGGAAUGUUUUACAGCCAUUAAAAAUUGUAAGAGAAAAUAUAUUGAAAAAUACAAUCUAAAAUGGUGAGUUUGCAAUUACAACAGUGUAAAACCUGUGUACAUAGACUAGAAUAUGGAAAAAAUGGAUUACAGGGUAGUGGAAUUGAGUGACUUUUGCUUUAAAGACUCUUAGGUAUAUUAGGUGUAUUCAGUUUAGUUCAAUAAACUUUUAUUGAGCUCUCACUCUCCCAAUCCCCGUGCUAGAUUCUAUGAGUGCUGAGACAAAUAGGACAUACUCCCUGCUCUCAGAGACUCCCAUUCUGUACAGUCUUGUCAAAGUUUACUGUGUAUGUGAAUCACUGCGGAGCGUAUUAAAAAUUCACAUUAUCUUACUCCCACCAGAAGAUCUGAUUCAGUAGGUCUGUGAUGGAACUAGCUCACAAUUUACAUUGUUUUAAACAGUCACCCUGAGUAAUUCUAGUGUAAGUAUUUUAAUUCUGUACUGAGAAACCUGCAGUGAGAUUUUAAUAUUUUUACACUAAACGGUAAGUAAUAAUUAUACAAAUCUGCUCAUUGAAGAAGUUACCUGUUUUCUCUGCAUGCUUGAGCUGGUUUUUAUGUGUCUCUAUCAAGGAUGGGAAGGCCAGCCUGCAGUGAUACCCCUUGGAACCCUUGCAGUGUAGAAACUACCACACCUCUCAACUUUUAUCUCUUUUCCUCACUCCAUUUCUCCCCACCACUUCUCCUAAUGUUUUCUUCUUUCUAUGCAAGUGUUAAUCUCCCACUCUGGUUCCUUCUAUGCCUAGUACUGUAUCAACAUCCAGGUGCUUCCCCUUCCUUUCUCCACCCCACCCCCCAGCCAGAUAUGUCAAUUGUAUUGAAAACAACUUACAUCUAGUUUACUAAGUACAAACUUGUGCUGGUUAAUGCUUCUCAAAAAGUAGGAGUGGGCUGUUUGUUGAGAUCAACAAUCAUUUUUUUAAAAAUCCGAUAUGGAAAUUUUUGUGUCAAGUUUCACUGUCAUUUAGUUCUUGACUGAUUUUCUUCUGAUGGGUUAGUAGCUCUCAACAGAAGAUUUUAAAAGUCCCCUGCUCAGGUACCUGUCCUGCCGAUAGAGCUGGGGUGUACCCUGCACCCUGACUCAACAUUGCUUGUCUCCACAUGCCUGUAAAUGGGCUUGGGUGGCUUUCUCAGGCUACACACCUGUCACUUCUUAGUCACCCAGAAUCAAAAUAUUAACAGCUCUGAUCACAUUUUCUGAACCUAUGAGGCUUUAUUUCAAGAGUGGUGACACUCCAAAAUGCAGCUAGGAUUUCCGCAUUUUCACGUGUUAGUGUUGAAAUCAUUUUUACUUCAGGAAACCAAGGGUUGGACAAUGGCUUCCAGACUUUCUCCUUUCGUUAUGCUCCUUCAGCGCCUUAUGCAAAUACCGGUUGUCUUAUGCUGCCAUUCGUCUCCUCUGCCAGAAUGUGAGGUCCGCGACAGCAGGGAUAAGAAUGCAUUCAUUUUUAUAUCUGCAGUGCCUUGGAGAGUGUCUGACACAUAGUGGGCACUCAUUUAGAAACCACCAAUUGAAUCAUUAAGGUGACCAAAAACAGGGUGGGGGAAAUACGUCCAUCAGACAACAGGGAAAUAUUUCUUAAAAAAAAAAUUUCCCAAAACUAGCUUUUCCCUCCUUAUGUGUCUGAAAUAUCUCAUAAAAUUUUAAACUAUCCCUUUCAGCACAAAUCUGCCUGGAGCUGUUUCCUGAACACAGGACCAAAAGGCAGGAAUCAAAAGUAGUAAUGAGUUUAGUUAUCUGUCUGUUACUGAAGGUGACUUCUAGGGCAUCCUCCUGGCAUUGCUUCUGGAAUACAGUGACUUAGACUUAUUCGGAAGAACAUCUCUAUGCUGUUCAUCACAUCGCCAGCACCUAGCCCUGUGCCUGUGCAUAGUAAAUGCUCAGAAAAGAAAAAACAACAAAGUUUCCAGCUCUUACUCUAGAUUGACACUGGACCUUGGAGAUGCUUGCAGCCACUAAAUGUAAUGCCACAUGAUUGUUGACCCAACAAUAAUCCAGUUAAAAAACAGUCUUCAGAGUUACUACAUCAUCAGAAUUAACCCUGAUUACAUCAAAUUAUGUUGAAACAGACCACAGCUGUUUGCCCUGUUGAAGCAACUGCUUGAGAGCUCCUCCGGAAGAUACAUCUGGGUGUCACUAAGAUACAUUUUGGGUUUAGUUUUGUUUCUCAACACAAAUGUAGGAGGGAAACAAACCCUGUUCUGCUGGGGUGCCUGGUGGGAGCUGAAAACCUUGUGAUUCUCCAGCAGUCAAAAGUCAUCUCAAUUACCAAAGAGAAGGGAACCUGAGAUCUUUUGUUUCAGUUUUCUAUAGGAAGGAUGUAAGAGGAAGGAAAUUCAAAUCUGUUGAGUAUUGCUCUUGCCAGCAAAAAGAAGUGGAACUGACUAGUGAGAUGGUGGUGAGAUUUUCUUUGGUGGCUGUGUGCAGUGGUAUCAACCCAGGAGAGUAGACUGUUCAAUUGUGAAGAAUUUUGCAAGAUGGUUGUUAAAGUAGAACAUCGUUAAAAUUAAGUUGUAAUAAAAAAAGGGAAAUAAGCAUUGGAAAAGAUGUGGACAGAUUGGAACCCUCAUACAUUGCUGAUGGGAAUGUAAAAUGGUGUAGCCACUGUGGAAAAAAGGUCAGCAGUUCCUUAAAAAGUUAAACAGUGUCACCAUAUGACUCAGCAUUUUCACUCCUAGAUAAAUACGUAGAUUGAAAACGUAUGUCCACACAAAAACUUGUACAGGAAUGAUCGCAACAGCAUUAUUCAUAAUAGCCAAAAAGUGGAAACAACUGUAAUGUUCAUCAGCUGAUGAAUGGAUAAAAUGCGGUAUAUAAAGAACUGUCAAGUGCUUCAACAUGGAUGAAACUUGAAAACAUUAUACAAAGCGAAAGAGGUUAGACACACAGGUCACAUAUUGUAUGAAUAUGGUUAUGUGAAAUGUCUAGAAUUGGCAAAUCCAUAGAGAUGAAAAGUAGGUUAGCGGUUGCCAGCUGAUGGGAUUGGGGGAAUGGAGAGUUGCUAAUGGAUAUGGUGUUUCUUUUGGGGUAAUGAAAAUGUUCUGGAAUUAGAUAGCUGUGGUGGUUGUCAAAGUUGAUGAAUAUAUUAGAAACCAUGAAUUAUAAACUUUAACAUGGUGACUUUUGUGAUACGUGAAUAUCUUAAUUAAAAAUUAAGUUAUAUAAACUUAUAAUUAAAUAAGUUAUAUUAAAAAGAAAGGUAGUAACUACCCCAAACUCAUCACUUGGCUAAUUACAUUUUACUAUUGUGUUCUUGGUGUUAUUUAUGUCUAUUGUGUCUUUAUGUUGGAAAUACUAAAUAAUGGUGUAUUACUGUGUAUCUCUUAACUCUGUAUUCAAGGACAUUAACUUGAUAGCUUAAAACUGGCCAUGGCUGGCAGAGUAUUUAUGCCACAACAGUUGGCAUAUACUGUAAAUCAAGGCACCCACCAACACCACCAGGGAGCCAAUUUUAAAAUAUUUGCCAGCACAUCAUUGGCUAUAUUGUCGGACAAUCAUCUUGGGUAAUUCUGGUAGAAUUAUAUAGUUAGAUGAGGUGAAAUCCUGAGGCCUCUAGGUUCCCAGCAAAACAAAGACUAGCAAGCCUGCACAGUUACUAUGCAAUUUAUCAGGUGCAGAAGGAAAUGACGUUUCUGGUCAUCUGUUGAAUAAAGCCACUUUGAGUUCAGGGGACAUGGUUUUCUCCAGCUUCACUAGUGUUGCAUCUGGUACAAGGGGUUAAGUGCUAAACCCCUGUAGGAUUGUCACAGUGAAGCCAGAUAACAGAGUAACCGCAAAGAGAUUUAAUUCUGUAGUCCCACAAAGGAGGGUGUGUAAAGAGUGUACAACAGUGUCAGAGUUUGGAAACCAAGGGUUGACAAAGUUGGUUCUCUGGAAUCUGGGGGUACCAGUUAAAAGGUUAAAAGGAGUCAUUGUUUUCUGAAACUAUCCAAGAGUUACAGCCAUGUUUUUUUGUUUUUGUUUUUGUUUUUAAGAUUUCGGGGGAAUCUUAUUUUCUCACAUGUUUCUGGAAUUUUUCUUUUUUUUUUAAUUUAAGUUCCAGGGUACAUGUGCAGGAUGUGCAGGUUUGUUACAUAGGUAAAUGUGUGCUAUGGUGGUGUGCUGCACCUAUCAACCCAUGACCAAGGUAUUAAGCUCAGCAAGCAUUAGCUAUUUUUCCUAAUGCUCUCCCUCCCCCAACCCCCUACCCACUCACAGGUCCCAGUGUGUGUUUCCCUCCCUGUGUCCUGUGUUCUCGUUGUUCAGCUCCCACUUAUAAGUGAGAACAUGCGGUGUUUGGUUUUCUGUUCCUGUGUUAGUUUGAUGAGGAUAACGCCUUCCAGCUCCAUCCAUGUCCCUGCAAAGGACAUGAUCUCGUUCCUUUCUAUGUCGAGUUACAACCAUUUUUAAAAGUGGAACUGCACAGGAUUACCUCAGCCUGCUAAGUCCUUCCAGCUAGGCCGUCCCUGUGGGUUUAAACGCAAUGUAAAGAAAGUGGAUGUUAAGUGUUCUUACCACAAAAAUGAUAACUAUAUUAGUUAAUGCAUUUGUUAGUUAGCUAGAUUUAACCAUCCCACAGUGUAUUUUAUGUAUUUGUAUUUAUAUUUCAAAACAUCAUAUUGUACAUAAUAAACACAUCGAUGUUAUCUGA
rnacentral:lncRNA from 1 species